AACGCACGAGACCUGCGGACCUGCGGAGGGAUCAUUACCGAGUCUCCGACUCCCAAACCACUGUGAACCUACCUCUCUGCGCUCCGCCGGGUCGGCCCCGGGGGGCCGGUCGCCGCUAGGCACCCGGCGGAGCCCUAGAAAAAUUCUCUUAGCGAGCUUCUGAGUUUGUCUCUAAAGAGUCACAACUUUUAACAAUGGAUCUCU
rnacentral:misc_RNA from 1 species